rnacentral:rRNA from 1 species
UACGUAGGGUGCAAGCGUUAAUCGGAAUUACUGGGCGUAAAGCGUGCGCAGGCGGUUGUGCAAGACAGAUGUGAAAUCCCCGGGCUCAACCUGGGAACUGCAUUUGUGACUGCACGGCUGGAGUGCGGGCAGAGGGGGAUGGAAUUCCGCGUGUAGCAGUGAAAUGCGUAGAUAUGCGGAGGAACACCGAUGGCGAAGGCAAUCCCCUGGGCCUGCACUGACGCUCAUGCACGAAAGCGUGGGGAGCAAACAGG